CCGAGUUUACAACUCCCAAACCCCUGUGAACAUACCAAUUGUUGCCUCGGCGGAUCAGCCCGCUCCCGGUAAAACGGGACGGCCCGCCAGAGGACCCCUAAGCUCUGUUUCUAUAUGUAACUUCUGAGUAAAACCAUAAAUAAAUCA
rnacentral:misc_RNA from 1 species